rnacentral:tRNA from 1 species
UCCCCUGUAGCUCAGCGGUAGAGCGGGUGACUGUUAAUCACUAGGUCGUUGGUUCGAGCCCAACCGGGGAGCCA